rnacentral:lncRNA from 1 species
GCCACUUCACUCCAUCCUCAGCUUUUCCACUCACACUGCCUCCUCCCCAUUUGGAGUGUUGGUUUUAUCUUCUCUUGCCCGUCUUUUAUAAAGACACUUGUGAUGGCAUUUGGGGCCCACCCAGACAAUCCAGGGUCAUCUUGGCAUUUUAAAAUCCUUAACUGAAUCACAUCUGCAAUGAUUCCUUUUUUUUUUUUUUUUCCAAAUAAGGCAAUAAGGUGAUGUUUGUAAAUUCCAGGCAUUGGGGCGUGGUAUCAUUGGGAGACCAUUAUUCAACUUUACUACAUACACAGUAUAAUGGUUGAUUCAAGGACUAAGCUACACAAGGUGUGUGUUUGACCACAGGGCUGACCUUGGGGCUUAGGUCUAAAGGAAAAUCUUCAUUGUGAACAGGAGCAAAAUGUCCAAAUCAGACUAGUUGUGUCAGGUCUGAAAGAUAAAACAUGGUUAUAAAUAGGAACACAGAUCACACAGCUAGAAUUCAGAAGACAGUGUUCCCCAUGAUACUCAGGUUAAGCAAACCAGGGGCAAGAACCACUUUUCUGGCCACUGUAUUGAGAUGUGACACUGCCAUGACGAUCUAGGCUGAAAAAAUGGGUCUAUGAGGCAAGUUGAUAACAUGUGAUUGUGAUUAUGAGCCACUGGGUGCAAAAAGUCAGCUGGGAAAAUGCAUGUGUCUGAAAGGGGCUCAGGCCAAACUCUCAACUGGGUUCACGUCUCUCUCUUUUGGUUUCUAUGUAUCACCACCCCUACCCUCCACCCUAUAGCCAAUGAAUUCAAGCCAAAAUUAUAUAUACAUGACUCAGUCUUUCUGGCUGAUAAAAUCUCUUGGCAUAUCCAAAGGGUCACUUGCCCACAAAGUUAUCAGUGACCCUGCUCAUACUUAUCGAUAUUAUCUCCCCCACUGCUAGUCAUACAGACUCCUUCCUAAAAUACUUCUCUUUAUCUCUUGCCUCAGAGCAAACACGCAUCUGCCUCCAACAAGCAAACUAUUUCCCCACCAGCACACAUUCCCCUGAAAACCAGACCAAUGUGUAAAAUGAAAACACAGAAUUUAUUAAAUUUUUUACAACCACCACCUCAGUGCUAACCGCCAUAAUGGUUCUGUUUGUUUCUGAAUCGGAGCAAAUGCUGUGAAUGAUGAAUCAGGUGCAAGAGGAUAAUGGUGCGCCAUGGCCGUGAUCUGUCCGUGGUCACAGGACCAUCAUUGGAUUGCCUCUUGGGUGGUUAUGGUUCUCUAGAGUGGCUGACAUAAAGCAAACAAAUGAUAUUGCUUCCUCAUGGUGGAGGACUGAGUAAUCAUCACAUUUAUCAACUGCUGUUCUGCUUUGUGGCUGUUCAGAUAUCGUGUGUGUGCCACGACAUCAUUUCCUCUGUGGUUUCCGGAUGCUGAAAGUCUUUCCUGGGUAAACUGAUAUCAUACUGUAUCGAGAGUGAUAAUGAGACAAACAUAUUUGGCAUGCGUGACUUUAUUAAAGAAGAAAUUGUUAAGGAAGCAGAUGCUGAUGCUUUGUUACGUCCCGCUGUCCUUCAUAGUCCUGUGGACUUAGUAAGGAAAAGCUUGACUAUACCAAAUAAAGAGAUGUCUUAUUGUAAUUAGCUCCCAAAGGAGAUUUGAUCUCAAUAGAGUUUACAAUACACUACCAUCAAAGGGACUGAAAGGAAGCCCUCCAUAAAAUAUUGCUUGUGUCUUUCUACAUCUGAGCUUCCAGACAGCACUCGAACCAACAGACAAAAAGACAAAUUGCUAGUGGCAAUCAUUUGGAAUAUUUGGUGUCCCCAAUGAUCCUUUCUUCCUAUAUCUGUGUUGCAUUCAGGUCAGGAACACUAGAAUCUUAUUAUAGUGGGAAAAGGUACUGAACACUUAAGAGAUGGUAUAAUGUGGUGGAAAAAAAAUAUGCUCUGCUGUCAGAGAAACAAGAGGAUGCCACAUUUUCCCUCUGUUUUUUUUUUAAUAUGUAUAUUUUAUUUAUUUAUUCAUGAGAAACACAGAGAGAGAGAGAGAGAGAGGGGCAGAGACAUAGGCAGAGGGAGGAGCAGGCUCCAUGCAGGGAGCCCAACGCGACUUAAUCCUGGGCUCCAGGAUCACACCCUGGGCUGAAGGCGGCGCUAAACCACUGAGCCAUCCGGGCUGCCCUUUCCCUCUGUUAAUGAUAUUAAAGUUAUUUUACCUCUCCAAGCCUGAGGCUUCAUCUAUAACAUGGAAAUAAUACCACCCACUUCCCUGGGCUUCUGUAUGGAUAAUACGAGCCAAGGGGUGCAAAUUGCCAUCCACCCAUGGAUGGUCGGCAGGCGCUAAGCUCCCACACUCACCCCUGACCUUUCUUUACAUUCACGCUGGCUUUUUUGUUACUCUGCUAUAUUUUUAUCCAACUGACUUUUUUCCUUGUCACACUCAUUUAUUUCUUUGGUCCCUGAAAGAGUAGAGUGGUUGGCAGUGAUUCACAUUUAAGUGAUGAUUUCUUGACCAGCAAAUGAAUGUUAAUAAGAAAUGUGAUUAUUUCCAUGGAUUCUGAAAACAAUCAAGAGCCAUUCAUUAAAUGAAUUAGAUAAGGUUAGGCAUCUUAAGCUGAGCACCCAAAUCUUUGCUAAUAUCUUCAGAGUGUCCAGGAAGAAGAGGACUAUAUCCAGUAAGAAAGAUGACACGUUUAAAACCUCCUGACCUGGGGUUCCUGGGUGGCUCAGUCGGUUAAGCAUCUGCCUUUGGCUCAGGUCCUGACCUGAGGGUCCUAGGAUCUGUGUCAGACUCUCUCUCCUUGUCAGCAAGGAGUCCCCUUCUCCCUCUCCUUCUGUCCCCACCCCCCAAUCUCCGCUCACGUGUACUAUCUCAAUUUUUUUUUAAAUCUUUAAAACCUCCCGACUUGUCCUUAGAACUAAUCAGAACUCAGUUUUCCCACUGGAAAAUUGGGAGGAGGUUCUUAAGAAUGAAAGAAGUAAUUUGGUUCUUGCUACACAAUUGCCCUGCUGACAACCCCUGGGAGUGGCUCCCUUCACAGGGCUAGAGGGGAAAAAAUGCUUUCUCAAACUCCACCAAAGUUUGUAGCAACUGGUUCUGGGAUAACUUCUUAAAAGCCCCACUGCCAAGGAGGAUUGAGUUAAAAAUAUAAGUCUGGACUUCUAAUAUCCUGACUUUAGAGUUCAUAAAUCACCUUCCUAUUUCACUGGAUUCUAUUGUAUUUCCUCUUUCUUUUAAUAGUCGUUAUUUUUCUUACCCCUGGGCUAAUUAAUCUUGGGAAAGUUGGAGCACCAAAUUAAGCCUGAAAAAUGUAGCUUAGGGAAGACAUCCAGAGGAAUGUCACACAAUGACAUCCAGAGGAUGGAUGACAACAGAGGACCUCUGUUUCUGUCAGUGUGGAGGACUGUGUGACCUGAGAAAUCCUGCUGGUACAAAAGUCACUAGAAAACAUGCAUGCAGAGAAGCAUGCACUGGACCAAUGCUGGCUAACAUCUACUGGCUUAGAAUUUGGACUUGAUGGGCCUUAACAAAUGGGGAUAGAACAAAAAUCCUCAGCACACACCAGAUGGGAGGUUGGACUUCUGAAAAAAA